rnacentral:rRNA from 1 species
UGGGGAAUAUUGCACAAUGGGCGCAAGCCUGAUGCAGCAACGCCGCGUGAGGGACGACGGCCUUCGGGUUGUAAACCUCUUUUAGUAGGGAAGAAGCGAAAGUGACGGUACCUGCAGAAAAAGCACCGGCUAACUACGUGCCAGCAGCCGCGGUAAUACGUAGGGUGCGAGCGUUGUCCGGAAUUAUUGGGCGUAAAGAGCUCGUAGGCGGUCUGUCGCGUCUGCUGUGAAAACCCGAGGCUCAACCUCGGGCCCUGCAGUGGGUACGGGCAGACUAGAGUGCGGUAGGGGAGAAUGGAAUUCCUGGUGUAGCGGUGGAAUGCGCAGAUAUCAGGAGGAACACCGAUGGCGAAGGCAGUUCUCUGGGCCGUAACUGACGCUGAGGAGCGAAAGCGUGGGGAGCGAACAGGAUUAGAUACCCUGGUAGUCCACGCCGUAAAACGUUGGGCGCUAGAUGUGGGGG